rnacentral:rRNA from 1 species
UACGUAGGGUGCAAGCGUUGUCCGGAAUUAUUGGGCGUAAAGAGCUCGUAGGCGGUUUGUCGCGUCGGCUGUGAAAACUCGGGGCUCAACCCCGAGCCUGCAGUCGAUACGGGCAGACUAGAGUGCUGUAGGGGAGACUGGAAUUCCUGGUGUAGCGGUGAAAUGCGCAGAUAUCAGGAGGAACACCUAUGGCGAAGGCAGCUCUCUGGGACGGUACUGACGCUGAGACGCGAAAGCGUGGGGAGCGAACAGG